rnacentral:rRNA from 1 species
CGYCGCCCGGGGCGCGCCCCGGGCGGGGUGGGGGCACGGGGGGAACGAGAAGAACCUUACCUACUCUUGACAUCCAGAGAAUUUGCUAGAGAUAGCUUAGUGCCUUCGGGAACUCUGAGACAGGUGCUGCAUGGCUGUCGUCAGCUCGUGUUGUGAAAUGUUGGGUUAAGUCCCGCAACGAGCGCAACCCUUAUCCUUUGUUGCCAGCGAGUAAUGUCGGGAACUCAAAGGAGACUGCCGGUGAUAAACCGGAGGAAGGUGGGGAUGACGUCAAGUCAUCAUGGCCCUUACGAGUAGGGCUACACACGUGCUACAAUGGCAUAUACAAAGAGAAGCGAACUCGCGAGAGCAAGCGGACCUCAUAAAGUAUGUCGUAGUCCGGAUUGGAGUCUGCAACUCGACUCCAUGAAGUCGGAAUCGCUAGUAAUCGUAGAUCAGAAUGCUACGGUGAAGCA